CAGUCGCCACGGGAAAACGGAGGGUGCAAGCGUUAAUCGGAAUUACUGGGCGUAAAGCGUGCGUAGGCGGUUCGUUAAGUCUGUUGUGAAAGCCCCGGGCUCAACCUGGGAAUGGCAAUGGAUACUGGCGAGCUAGAGCGUGUCAGAGGAUGGUGGAAUUCCCGGUGUAGCGGUGAAAUGCGUAGAGAUCGGGAGGAACAUCAGUGGCGAAGGCGGCCAUCUGGGACAACACUGACGCUGAGGCACGAAAGCGUGGGGAGCAAACAGGAUUAGAUACCCCCGUAGUCCCUGUCUCUUAUAC
rnacentral:rRNA from 1 species